AGAGUUUGAUCCUGGCUCAGGAUGAACGCUAGCGGCAGGCCUAAUACAUGCAAGUCGAACGGUGAUAGCAAUAUCAUAGUGGCGCACGGGUGCGUAACACGUAUGCAACCCACCUUAUACUGAGGGAUAGCCUUUCGAAAGGGAGAUUAAUACCUCAUAACACAUUGAACUGGCAUCAGUUUAUUGUUAAAGAUUUAUUGGUAUAAGAUGGGCAUGCGUCCAAUUAGUUAGUUGGCGAGGUAACGGCUCACCAAGACGAUGAUUGGUAGGGGAACUGAGAGGUUAAUCCCCCACACUGGCACUGAGAUACGGGCCAGACUCCUACGGGAGGCAGCAGUAGGGAAUAUUGGGCAAUGGAGGCAACUCUGACCCAGCCAUGCCGCAUGCAGGAAGAAGGCGUUAUGCGUUGUAAACUGCUUUUAUAUAGGAAGAAAUAGACCUUGCGAGGUAAGUUGACGGUACUAUAUGAAUAAGCACCGGCUAACUCCGUGCCAGCAGCCGCGGUAAUACGGAGGGUGCAAGCGUUGUCCGGAUUUAUUGGGUUUAAAGGGUGCGUA
rnacentral:rRNA from 1 species